GGAUAAUCUACCCUUAGGACUGGGAUAACCCCGGGAAACUGGGGCUAAUACCGGAUAGGCAAUUAUUCCUGCAAUGGUUUUUUGUUUAAAUGUUUUUUCGCCUAAGGAUGAGUCUGCGGCCGAUUAGGUAGUUGGUUAGGUAAUGGCUUACCAAGCCGUUGAUCGGUACGGGUUGUGAGAGCAAGAGCCCGGAGAUGGAACCUGAGACAAGGUUCCAGGCCCUACGGGGUGCAGCAGGCGCGAAACCUCCGCAAUGUGAGAAAUCGCGACGGGGGGAUCCCAAGUGCCAUUCUUAACGGGAUGGCUUUUCAUUAGUGUAAAGAGCUUUUGGAAUAAGAGCUGGGCAAGACCGGUGCCAGCCGCCGCGGUAACACCGGCAGCUCUAGUGGUAACAAUUUUUAUUGGGCCUAAAGCGUCCGUAGCCGGUUUAAUAAGUCUCUGGUGAAAUCCUGUAGCUUAACUGUGGGAAUUGCUGGAGAUACUAUUAGACUUGAGACCGGGAGAGGUUAGAGGUACUCCCAGGGUAGAGGUGAAAUUCUGUAAUCCUGGGAGGACCGCCUGUUGCGAAGGCGUCUAACUGGAACGGUUCUGACGGUGAGGGACGAAAGUUAGGGGCGCGAACCGGAUUAGAUACCCGGGUAGUCCUAACUGUAAACGAUGCGGACUUGGUGUUGGGGUGGCUUUGAGCUGCUCCAGUGCCGAAAGGGAAGCUGUUAAGUCCGCCGCCUGGGAAG
rnacentral:rRNA from 1 species